CCCCCCCCCCCCCCCCAUACCUCUUCAAUUGGACAGAAACCCCAAAGUCUCUGAGAACCGGGCAAUUCUCCACUGGGUUUUCGAGAGGAUUUCAGGUGGUUUGAUGAUGACUGGGCUUGCUGACUUAGCAAAAGUGAAAAGGGACAGUAUUUCACCUGAUCGCGCUGUCGCUGCCUUUCUUUCCUGAUUGCCUCUUCAUCUCUGCCUGCAUCCUCCUGGCCACCUCUGCCGUCGUCGUUGUCGCUGUGGCCCUCAUCUCCGCCGACACCAUGGCUGCAGGUACGUCGCCGACCCCUAUUUCCUGCUCCCCUUCUCAGGAAUGCACAUGAAUGGAAUGCACACUUAGUGAGACAGGGAACAAAAAAAAGAAAACAAGACUAGGAAGCUUUUGAUGCAUUUCAAGUACAAAAAACAUUUCAAGCAGAUGUAGCUAAGGUUGCUCCUAUGGCUGCCAAUGACAGAAAAAGGAUGGGAAUUGCUAUGCAGUCCACACCUGUUGCUGUCAAUCAAGAAAGGAGGGAAGCUGGAAGCCUGAAGAUCUCUGAACCAAGCUCACAGCCAAAGCUCUUAUGUAUUCCCUCUGUAAACAAAUAUAAUACGUUUUAGGCCACUAAAACAGAGGUAGUAGUACCUAAGCACUGUGUGUUCAACCUUGCUGCUUGCAAGGAAACCAUCAAUACCAAAAAAGGCCCCUCACUAUGACAACCAAGACAUGUUUCACUACUUUCAGACAUGUUGCUACUGUUUUUUUUGGCACAUUGUACUACUUGAUAUGACUGUUACAGUACUGUUUUUUUUGGCAAAAUGCACCUUCUGCUAUGAUUGCUACU